UCAUAUUUUAUUUUCAAUUUUAAAAAAUAAAUCAAUAAGUACAAGUACUUUAAUUUUGUAGUAAUCUAAUUUUUUUACUUUUUUGUCAUCUUUAAAAUAUUAAGAAACAAAUAUAUUACAAAGGAGGCCAAAGACGAGAAAGUCGAGAAAAAAAACUAAAGGCCCAACAGGAGUCCACAACAAAAAUGCCCAAAAGAAAUUGGUUGUCCACUUGCACACCACGCGUUACUGAUUAGCGUGAGUAGAACAACACGUGUCAAGCAUUCUGCGAAGGAGAUGCACGCGUCACACAAAAGGACCACCGACUUCAAGUCAAAACUUGCUAUAAAUCUUGGGCGUCAGAAAGCUAGAAAGCGCCGUUUGAUGAGCCUGCGUAGUAUUAGGUAGUUGGUUAGGUAAAGCGCUCCGACGACCACCGGAACACACCAUAGACAGGCCAUCAGGAAGGAGGAACCUUGGAGACAUCUUCAGACCAUAAGCUAGCUAAUCCAGUGGAAGUUAAGUCGCCGGAGCUUUGAGGAGAGCCAACCAACGAACCAACACCACUAUCUACAGAUCUCCGCUUCAGACUAAUUGUCUUCAAUCAAAUCAGUCGAUCAAGCUAUCGAUUUCCAUGCGAGACAAUCAAAUCAUCUUGAAAGAUUAGAAGAAGCUUGAAGAUGCCAACAACCUUAACCGAGGGAAGGACAAUCAAUCGAGAGCUAGAGUCGAGGAUUGAAUGAAGGAGAGCAAGAGGCAGAGAUCAAGCUCAAACUAGAGAAAUAUGAUGAAAAACUAGCCGCUCAUCUAAGAAGGAAAAGGAUGAUGACUAGAGCCAUGAGCCGGCAUGAAGGUGUGGAGUUACCACCGAAUACCUGAGCCAAAAGCCGAUGACAUCAAUGUUGAAGAAACCACCAGUCACCAGAGCCAGAGUCGACGUCGAUGUUGAGUAAACCAUCGACCACCAGAGAUGAACUCGACCAUGGGGCCGACACCAGAGGACUAACACCGGCGAUGAGUCUAUCUCUAUGAAAGAUUAGAGAGGGAAGAGAG
rnacentral:lncRNA from 1 species